rnacentral:rRNA from 1 species
GACGAACGCUGGCGGCGUGCUUAACACAUGCAAGUCGAACGAAAAGAGGGAAAGAGCUUGCUCUUUCCGGAAUUGAGUGGCAAACGGGUGAGUAACACGUAAACAACCUGCCUUCAGGAUGGGGACAACAGACGGAAACGACUGCUAAUACCGAAUAAGUUCCAAGGGCCGCAUGGCCCAUGGAAGAAAAGGUGGCCUCUACCUGUAAGCUAUCGCCUGAAGAGGGGUUUGCGUCUGAUUAGCUGGUUGGAGGGGUAACGGCCCACCAAGGCGACGAUCAGUAGCCGGUCUGAGAGGAUGAACGGCCACACUGGAACUGAGACACGGUCCAGACUCCUACGGGAGGCAGCAGUGGGGAAUCUUCCGCAAUGGGCGAAAGCCUGACGGAGCAACGCCGCGUGAGUGAUGACGGCCUUCGGGUUGUAAAACUCUGUGAUCCGGGACGAAAAGGCAGAGUGCGAAGAACAAACUGCAUUGACGGUACCGGAAAAGCAAGCCACGGCUAACUACGUG